rnacentral:rRNA from 1 species
CAAUACGUCAGCGGCAGACGGGUGAGUAACGCGUGGGAACGUACCUUUUGGUUCGGGAUAACCCAGGGAAACUUGGACUAAUACCGGAUAAGCCCUUACGGGGAAAGAUUUAUCGCCGAAAGAUCGGCCCGCGUCUGAUUAGCUAGUUGGUGAGGUAACGGCUCACCAAGGCGACGAUCAGUAGCUGGUCUGAGAGGAUGAUCAGCCACACUGGCACUGCGACACGGGCCAG